GCUUUCUUUGGAAACACAUAGACUGAAACCAGAAUGAUAUAGAGAAGACUAGCAUGGCUCCUACAAGAAGAUGACACGCAAAUUCAUGAAGCAUUCCAUAUUUUU
rfam:Otolemur garnettii contig143255, whole genome shotgun sequence.